GGGGUUGAAAAGAAUUUCGACAGGAGUCAAAAAAGCUAAGUGCAUGUGAGCUGGCAUGCUCUAAAACUGCCAUUUUUAAAAUUAAACGCAAACAAUACAAAUUACGCUCCAGCUUAUGCAAAAGUAGCAUAAGUUUAACUACUCUUUAGGAGCCGACUAAGAUAGAAUUCCUAGCGUUUUAUCAUUAGUCGUAACGCGGCUAGGUGCUUGGCUGUAUCACCUCGCACAGACAAAAAGACAAAUGAGGUUGCUUAUUUAGCGGAGUUUGGAGAUUUGCUUGCUAGAUAAAAAGACUAAAAAUCUUGUCUAAACAUGUAGAUUCUUAGGGGAUUUGAUUUUUGGACUGGGGUUUGAUUCCCCACAACUCCACCA
rnacentral:tmRNA from 2 species